GAUGAACGCUGGCGGCGUGCCUAAUACAUGCAAGUCGAGCGAACGGACGAGAAGCUUGCUUCUCUGAUGUUAGCGGCGGACGGGUGAGUAACACGUGGAUAACCUACCUAUAAGACUGGGGUAACUUCGGGAAACCGGAGCUAAUACCGGAUGAUAUUUUGAACCGCAUGGUUCAAAAGUGAAAGACGGUCUUGCUGUCACUUAUAGAUGGAUCCGCGCUGCAUUAGCUAGUUGGUAAGGUAACGGCUUACCAAGGCAACGAUGCAUAGCCGACCUGAGAGGGUGAUCGGCCACACUGGAACUGAGACACGGUCCAGACUCCUACGGGAGGCAGCAGUAGGGAAUCUUCCGCAAUGGGCGAAAGCCUGACGGAGCAACGCCGCGUGAGUGAUGAAGGUCUUCGGAUCGUAAAACUCUGUUAUUAGGGAAGAACAUAUGUGUAAGUAACUGUGCACAUCUUGACGGUACCUAAUCAGAAAGCCACGGCUAGCUACGUG
rnacentral:rRNA from 1 species